AUAUAACUCAUUUAAUGAUCUCGUAUAAAUCUGGGAAUAGGGCCCGGAAGUCUCUACCUGAACACCGUAAAUGUUCGGACUACGGGGGAAUACUAUCGAAAC
rnacentral:ncRNA from 1 species